rnacentral:rRNA from 1 species
CUACGGGAGGCAGCAGUGGGGAAUAUUGGACAAUGGGGGAAACCCUGAUCCAGCAAUGCCGCGUGUGUGAAGAAGGCCUGCGGGUUGUAAAGCACUUUCGGUUGGGAGGACUGCUUCUAGCACUAAUAUUGUUGGAAGUUGACGUUACCUUCAGAAGAAGCACCGGCUAACUCCGUGCCAGCAGCCGCGGUAAUACGGAGGGGCAAGCGUUAAUCGGAAUUACUGGGCGUAAAGCGCGCGUAGGCGGCUAGAUCAGUCGGGUGCGAAAGCCCCGGGCUUAACCUGGGAACCGCAUCCGAUACUGGCUGGCUUGAGUACAGGAGAGGAGAGUGGAAUUCCACAUGUAGCGGUGAAAUGCGUAGAUAUGUGGAGGAACACCAAUGGCGAAGGCAGCUCUCUGGCCUGAUACUGACGCUGAGGUGCGAAAGCGUGGGGAGCAAACAGGAUUAGAUACCCGCGUAGUC